CCUAAAAUCUUUUACUGAACCACUUUAUAUGCUCCCAUCACUUCUUCCACUUUUCAUGCUCCAGUCACUUCUUCUGCAGGUUUCGAUCAAAUGCGGAUCUCCUCUUCCCUUUUGAUUUUUCAAGUAUGUCUUAGAUUUGAAGUUGGGAAAAUAAUGGAAAGGUCGUUAAACGUUGUUCCUCUCAUUUUUCAGUUUAUAUGAGUCUAUAUGAAAGGUGUGUUAAAGGUUGUUCCUUUCAUAUACUACAAUUUU